rfam:Batrachochytrium dendrobatidis JAM81 unplaced genomic scaffold BATDEscaffold_10, whole genome shotgun sequence.
GCUCCCUUAGCUCAGUGGUAGAGCGUGCGGCUUUUAACCGCAAGGCCGUGGGUUCGACACCCACAGGGAGCU